rnacentral:misc_RNA from 1 species
GGGAACUGGUGUAUAGAUGACUUGUGAAGCUGUGAUAAAUAUGUAGCAGUUGUUGAUGCCUAUGACCUGUCCUUAGCAGCCCAUUUAAUCUUGUGGGCUAGUGGCACCUUCGCUUGCCUUGUGCACUGCUAGCUUGUGGCUGUUACAUCCAUAUGAUCAAGACCUUGGAUUUGGAAAGUUGGGUAAUCAAGCACACUUAUCAAGUUGGCCGAAUUUGGUUAAAAGAUCAACUCUGGAAUGGGCUUCCCAAUAGAAUUCGUAGAGAAGUCAGUUUUGAGUUACCUGUUGUAGUCUACCACUUGCCUCAACUUUGUUUUUCUCCUAAAAGUUGACCCUAUAUUCUAUGGAUAAUCUUGUACUUAUUAUAUAAAAC